CAGAGUAAAGGAACACGCGUGAAGUGCCUGUUGUACGGGGAGUUGAUAGCAGGACGAAAAGGCGCCCGCCUUGCGGUGUGUUCCUUGCAUCCCGCUGU
rnacentral:ncRNA from 1 species